UACGUAGGGUGCAAGCGUUGUCCGGAAUUAUUGGGCGUAAAGAGUCUCGUGAGGCGGUCUGUCGCGUCGGCUGUGAAAACCCGGAGCUCAACUCCGGGCCUGCAGUCGAUACGGGCAGACUGGAGUUCGGCAGGGGAGACUGGAAUCCUGGUGUAGCGGUGAAAUGCGCAGAUAUCAGGAGGAACACCGGUGGCGAAGGCGGGUCUCUGGGCCGAUACUGACGCUGAGGAGCGAAAGCGUGGGGAGCGAACAGG
rnacentral:rRNA from 1 species